GCCGUUUCCCUCCUGCCGCACGCGCGUGUAGGAGCCCGGCAGCCCGUGGCCGUUGGUCUCGCGCAGCGCUCGUUGAUGGGGCCGCCCCGCCUCAGGCUGGCGGGGACUGAGGCGGUUGUUGUUUUAAGGAACAUGGAAGAGUGAGCUCUCUGCAGUUUCUUCAGUUCCUCAUCUGUCUGAUGUCAUGAUCAAACGUUUGGUGGAAGAUGUGCGAGCCAGGCUGCGCUCUGGAAUAACUAUCAGCUCACUGGGGCAGUGUGUUGAGGAGCUUGUCCUCAAUAGCAUUGAUGCCAAAGCAACAUGUGUAGCUAUAAGGGUGGAUCUGGAAGCUUUUAAGGUCCAGGUGGUGGACAAUGGCUCUGGGAUGGGAAGAGAGGACUUAAAUGCAAUGGGAAAGCAGUACUUCACCAGCAAAUGCAAAUCAGUGGGAGACUUGGAGAAGCUGACGUUCUACGGCUUUAGAGGGGAGGCUGUGGCAAGCAUAGCCAAUGUGGCUAGCAUAGUGGAAGUUUCAUCUAAGAGCAGCAGGACAGCAAAAACAUUUGUAAAACUCUUUCACAAUGGGCAAGCACUGGAAGUCUGUGAAGCUGAAUUGAGCAGACCAAGUGGUGGAACUACAGUCACUGUGUGUAAUCUGUUCCAUCAGUUACCAGUAAGGAGGAAGUGUAUGGAUCCUGUGUUGGAGUUUGAGAGAGUGAGGCAGAAAGUAGAGGCUAUUUCACUGAUGCAUCCCUCUAUUUCACUGUCUUUAAGGAACGACAUUUCUUGUUCUAUGGUGCUUCAGCUACCUAAGACAAGAGAUGUGUACUCACGGUUUUGUCAACUUUAUGGACUUGGCAGAUCCCAGAAGUUACGAGAAAUAAAUCAUAAGUCUGGGGGAUUUGAGAUAAAUGGUUAUAUCAGUACUGAAGGGCAUUACAACAAGAAUAUGCAGUUCUUAUAUGUGAAUAGAAGGCUUGUUUUAAAGACAAGACUCCAUAAACUAAUUGAUUUUUUAUUAAGAAAAGAAAGUGUCAUUUGCAAGGCAAAAAGUGCCCCUGUAAGCAGACAGGCUAGUCCUAGUUGCCACCGUUGUGGCCCAGAGUUGUAUGGGAUCUUUGUUCUCAAUGUGACCUGUGCAUACAGUGACUAUGAUGUGUGUCUGGAACCUGCAAAGACUCUGAUUGAGUUCCAAAACUGGGACAUUGUUCUAACUUGUAUAGAGGAAGGAGUGAAAAUAUUUUUGAAACGAGAACAUUUAUUUAUUGAACCAUGUAGUGAGGACAUCAGAGAGUUUAAUGAAGAUAAGGACUUUAGUCUGUGUAAUGCUUCAGUUCUGAAGCCCUCACUCCCUGAUGAGAAGAGCAUCCAGGACAGUUUUAAGAAAGCAUGUGAUGAAAUUGUGGAUUCCUAUGAAAUAUGUAACUUGCAAUCAAAAGAUGUCAAAAGGAAAUCUGUUACUCGACAAAAAUCUUCAAGUCUUAUAGAGUCGAAUAUAAAUCUACAGGAAACUGAAAUCACCCCACAUCAGAAGAGCGAUGAACCAUCUGAUCCAUGCAGAAACAAAGCAGAGAUUCCACUGCCCAGCAAAGAUGACACAGCUUCUAAUUUCCUUAUAUCAGAUAUCUUGGAGCAGGAGCCAAAAGACACUAGCCGUUCCCAGAAAGCGCCUGAUGCUCAUCUGAAACCUUCAGGAAAUUUUUGUUCCUCUUUAAGUGAAGGGGCCAGGUCAGAAAUAAGAAAAGUAGACAGUUGUGAUGACCUGCAGCAUUGUGCAGAGAAUUACAUAAAAGACAUGGGAAGCCAGCAAGACAAAGUAGUGCAGAAAAGCAAUAAAGUCUGUACCUUUAAUGAUGUUACUCAGUUGUUGUCUGAGAGAGAAGACUCUAGUGAAGCAGCAGUAGGAUCUGAAAUUGUCUCUGGAAAUUCACUGUUGAGGCUCUGCGAUGCAAGAAGAGAAGACAGGGAAACAGCUGACUUGACAGAUGAUGCUGGAAGACGGGCUGUUAGUUCAGUACCAUUAAAAUUAUGCUCUACAGGCCUGAUAACAUAUGUUACUCAAAAAGAGCCCCCACAUGAAUGUGAACAAACAGAAAUAAGUCUUGCAUUAAACACGCAACGUAGACCUGGCCCUGUCAGUGCCAAGGAUGUUUUUGGCCACAAAGUAAAUUUGCAAUCUGUAAAUUCUAAGGAUGUUUCCAGUAACACAAAUAAAGAAUAUACACCUCCUUACUCAAGGGAUAUAUGCGUAGCUGAUGGUAGUGAGUGGUUACAGAACAACCCUUUGUCAAAAGAGGUGAGUAAGGAAGCAGCUGUGCCUAUUGCCACCAGUAAAAUGCAUUAUGAGACAUCAAACAUUUCAGAAUUGCCACUGGCAACUUCUUCAGGUAUUCCUCACAAUAAAGGUAUAAGAAGCAAUAGAAGACAAAUAGCUGUGCCAAAAUCUCAGCCCUUUGUGAAGCUGGGCUUGUCCACACAGCUAGGUUCAUUGGAAAAGUUCAGGAGAUAUUAUGGGACGGACAAGUGUACGCUACCAAUACCAUUGCCACAGCAGAGUGAAUUUGAUCUCCCAGUUUUUAAUUCACAAGCUAACUGUGACUUUUCAAGGAAUGAUAAUGACCAUCACGGUAACUUGAGCACUUGUGAAACUCAAGCUGUGGAAGACACAGAUUCUGAUACUAGUAGCGAAGUUGUUUCUUCAGGGUAUACUUUAUUCUGCAGUGGAGCAACUUCAGAGGACAGGCGAGCCUUUUGUCAGAGUCCUUUGACAUUGUCUGGUUACUGUCCGGUUAAUAAUAAUCACACAAGUCGUAAAAGAUCUCCAGGAUCAUUGUCGUCUAAGCUGUCCAGAAUGAAAGGUAGCCACAAGGAAUUAGAACAAUUUAGUGAACAAUUCCCAAGAGAUUCAAGUAGAAAAGAUGACUACUCUUUUGUUCCUGCACCUUCAAAUAAUGAUUUUUCAUACAAUGCUUGUCAAGCUUAUAAAUCCUCAGUGGAAAGAAUGGGGGACUGUGAUUACAGUGUUUCUAAGGGGGAUGCAUGCUGGCAAUUGGACUGUACAAGCCUGGAGUCCUUGAAAAGUACUGUCAGUGCAUCACCGCUCAGCAGUAUAGAAGAGGAGUACACAGUCUCUUCAAGCAGUGUUUUAUCAUUACCUGCUAAAAAGGAUUGUACUGAUGUCAUCUGUAAAGAUAAAAGUACAUUAGAUGGAUCCUCCAAACAAAAUAUGAAAGAUACUGAGGCUCCCCACACAACCUUCGUAAGUAACUUGGAAUUCUCUGCAUACAACACAAGCACAGGGGAUCCCAGGAAUGAUGCGUGUUGUUCAGACUGGCUGCAAGAUUUUGACGUUUCAUUGGGUAAGACAAUAUACAUCAAUAAAACAACUGGACUGAGCACCUACAACACUCCUCCUGUGGCAGAAUUUCAGGCUGCCUGCAUUCAAGAUGUAACAACAAUGGCUGUAAAUGUUGUUUCAGAGAGCGGCAUUCGGUUCAGGUGCCAUCCAUUUAGAAGUGAGAUUGUGCUACCCUUCCUUCCUAGACCUCGAAAAGAGAAGACUCUAGCAAGCCAGGAUCUGAGAGAUACUGAAGGGGAGUCUCUCCAGUCAUUGCUUUCAGAAUGGGAUAAUCCUGUUUUUGUUCCCUGCCCAGAGAUAGCCAUUGAUGUGACUAGCAGUCAGGCUGACAAUCUGGCUGUGAAAAUUCACAACAUCUUAUAUCCUUAUCGUUUCACCAAAGACAUGGUUCAUUCAAUGCAGGUACAAUAUGAUCUAUUGCUACUUUUCACCUGCAAAUUCCCACUCGGGAGAUGUGAUGUACUAAUGUUUCUGACUGGUGGGAAAGAGGUAUCCAGGGAAAAAGUAUCCUUAAUUUUCACAAGCACAAAUGGCAAUUUUGGUUGCUGUGUGAUAACAGCAGACACAUAUGUCAUGUCAGAUCUUAGUAUCAUCUCAUGGUUGAUUACUUGGUGUCUGCAAGUGACUAAAAUUCCUUGACUGUAUGGUUAAAUCAGAUCAAGAGGCAGCCCUGUUACCACUGCUUAGAAACAAUGUUAACUAAAUGAUAUUUCAGUGGGCAGUUUUUUAUAUUUAAUGUAAUCAUUGCAUAGUUUGUAUUCUUCUGAAAUCUGUCUUCUGUAUCCUCCACUUUUAUUUACCUUAGAAAUAUAAUUCUUCAUCAGAGUGAUUUCAAAAGCAAAUCCCAGAUUUCGUGGAAAGACUUGAAAUUCUACUUUAAGAUUUAUGUCUGCCCUCAAAAGUGAUUCUUAAAAAUGGCAUCAGACUAUCAAGUUUAACUGUUUUAAGUGCUUCUUUAGAAAAUGUUUUAAAUGCUAGCUUAAAAGCUGAAUGUAUAGCUUCAACUUACAUUCUUUGAUGGUUUGCCUGGAUAGAAAUGCUGAAGUGGAUUCUUCCCAUCUUGUAUCCCAAUGACAGAAGGCCUGCAGGCCCAGUCAGUAUUAUUCUCUUGCAGUCAGGCUGCUGACCUUGAGAUUGCAGGUUUUGACUAUGUGGGGUAUGGUAAUGUUGAUCACCAGGGUGAACAGGGAUUCACAUGAUUCCCUUACUUAUGUUGUGUGUGCAAGAAUAACAGGAAUAAAAAACGUUAUUACAGUAAAUGGGUUAUGUUUCGCAAAGACAGAAGGGGAAAGCUAGGAAACAGAAGGUACCAUUUUUCUGUGCACUCGUAAGAACUGGUUUUUAAAACUUACUGAGUGGUUCUGUGAUUAACUUUACUCUGUGUAAUGUUUUCCUUUGUAUGUUUUUAAGAAGGCAAAGCUAGGAGAAAUAACCACUUCCCUUUUCUGAGCAAGCUAAAUACUGCCUCCGAUACCCUAUCUCAAUUUUGAGAACCUCUCAAAAGAUCAAAAGCAAAAAAUCCUGCAUCAUGCUACAGAAAAAGAAUAAAAAGAAUAAUUAGCAUCUUCUAUCCCUACAAAGAAAUAGGAUCAUCUAUUCAUUUUUACCCAGAAGGUGAACAAUGCACAUGGUGUGAGACAGAGAAUUCAGAGUGAGCUCUAAACUAUGUCACUCAAGGAGAAAUUCCUCCCACAUCUAUUGACUUAAAUCUAGCAAUAAGAUGCUAAAAGCAUUGUGCAUCCCUGCUCAGUAUUCCCUGUAGCUCUGGUUUAUUUCUGAUGCUUGAGGGAAAGGAGGAAUCGAGUCACAUGGGCAAAUUCUGCAUCAGAAAAUGAGGAGGGUUGAAAAAUGCUUCCUGGCUCCUACAGAUGAUUAGUCCAAGUCCUUAAAGACAUACCAGGUUAAAAAGGUUGUUUACAUUCUCUUUUGGUGAUACCAGCAAAUCAGAUAUUCAGAGUUGUUUUGCACGGCUUUAACUCCCAACUCAAGGAGGCUUCUACAUGACCACUUAAUCUGUUCUGUGAAUUUCCAGCUCUACCUUAGAAUGAUUAGAGCUCUUUCCUUCUCUUCAGGAAAAAAAAGAUCCAAAAACAAUUUAUUGGAUAUUCUGAAGCUUUUUCUUAGCUCCAGACUAAACUAUUUCAUGACCAGUUUAUUGUCAUUUGACUGUCUGCCAGUAUUGUCUUUUAACUUAAAUAAUUACUGCCUUUUCCAUAUUUUUCCCCCACUGUUUAUAGAGGAUAAUUAGGUACCUUCUCAGUCUCAGUUUUUCUAGGCAAAGCUCUUUAAGCCUUUGUGAUUAGAAAAGCUGUGGUUUCCACUCUCCUAAUCAUCCUAUUAGCUCUUCGUUGCACUUCAUCCAUUUUGAUUGUUGUCUUCUUUUGUUUACCUUCAUUUAAAAAAUAAAGUCUGCCCCUGGGUAAUGAUUUUUCUGAGUAUCUUGCAGGUUCUUCAGCAAGUGGACAAUAAAUUUAUCGCUUGUUUAAUCAACACUAGAAAUGAAAUGGAUAGAGAGACAGAUGGAAACCUCUUGAUUUUGGUGGACCAACAUGCAGCUCAUGAACGGAUCCGCUUGGAGCAGCUUAUUGCAG